GAAAGGAAAACUUGAAAUCGCUUGAAAGCUAAUCAGGAUUUGAAGCAGAUGCAAGCUGUCUGGAAUUCCACAGUCCUACUUCAUGAAGCCAUCAGCUCACCUUGGCAGAGUAUGUCCACAAUACGCUCCCUGUGGCAACCACUGAUAUGCCCCCCUUUCCAAAUUCUGUUGGUCAUCAGCUGCAUCUUUUUGCUUCACAGGAACCUGAGGCACCCGUGUUUCCAGGCCUUUGUCCAGUGGUGCAGACUCAAAUGAGAAAGAGGCAGGAAGGUGCAUUUCCGGGCGGGGAAAAAUGCCAAGGUGGCAGAUCGUCAUCUGAAUCCUUAUCCCAAGUAUGUCUGUGGGCAUAGGGUAUGGCUUUCCACUUAGGACCUGUCCCUUAAGGUUCUGGCAUGCAAACUGGAACCCAGGAUCUUAGGGCCAUACCACAUUACCAUGGACUAUGGUCCAACGGAAGUGCAUCUCUCAUGUGUAGGCUUACAUGUGUUUCGUGUCAAGCCUGUAAUUUCUUCCCCUUUGAACCUAUGUCUGCUCCUUCCCUCCCUCCCCCUAUCCUGUUGUGCUUAGGAGGCUGCUGGACACCAGGAGGUGUGGUAGGGGAUACUAUUACCUUUUGGAGGGUGCUGUCUCAGGACAUCUUGGACUACUCCUUUUCUGUGUCAGGAGCACACAGGGUUGCUCCUGGUGGGGGUGGAGCUGCUUACUGUCAGGGUGCUGGUCUGUUCAGCUCAGGGUUUGUUUGCAUUGCAUCUUUUGUUUGUCUUGAUAACCUGGCUGACACAUGGUGUUUGUGUUUGUCAUUCGAUCUGCUCUAUUGUCUAUUGUUACCCUGCUCCUCUUGUUACCUUGCUAUCUCACCAGGGCUUGCUUUGGCUCCCCACCACCUGCCUCUGUUCUGGACACCAGAUUCCUUCCUCUUCACCACUAUCAAGUCUCUUGCUGCCCUUCCCUCUCGGCUCCCCUCUUUAUCCUGUUCCAUCCAUCUGGCUCGUCUUCAAGUUUCUUAUCUGCCCGUCAGUCCCAGAGGACUCCAGCCAGGACUGCCAAGUUCCUGCCUCCACUCUCCAGGUUUCACUGUCUUUCUCCCCUGCCAUCACCAUUCCAUGUUCCCUGAUGUUAAUGGCUGGGCUCACAUAUCUUGUUGUCCUUGGAGUGUACUCAUCUCCCACCAGUGUUGCUAUUUGGUUCUGCUCUUCAAUUCACUCUGGAUUCC
ensembl:lncRNA